rnacentral:misc_RNA from 1 species
GAACGCAAGGAACGGAGGUUUCACAGUACUGCUUUGAUCCAAACUCUCUACGACUACGUCGAUUCCUUGGGUUGUUUGGAGGUUGAUAGUUAUAAUCUGGUAUCAAACUUCCCUCGAGUUGUAUAUGGUGCUGAUAAGCUGUCCUUGUCUUUGAAAGAAGCUGGACUACACCCUCAGGCCAGUCUUUUUGUGGAGCUAACCUCAUGAAGUAAUAGAAUGGGGGAAUGUAGUUGAAGAUGAAAGCUGUGAGUGAGAUUUUAUUGUAGCUUAUUUUAUUUUGAUUAGAGCUCCGUUGAUGACAGUAUUAAUGUUUCAGGUCUAUAGUAGGAUGCAUAUUCAGUAUAAAUUUAUAAUGGUGGUUGGGGGGAUGUUCGAAUAAUGACUUAAAAUUUCUCUGAAUUUGUAAUUUUAGAUUUUGGGUCAUAUUUG